rnacentral:rRNA from 1 species
AUUGAACGCUGGCGGCAUGCUUUACACAUGCAAGUCGAACGGUAACAGGCCGCAAGGUGCUGACGAGUGGCGAACGGGUGAGUAAUGCAUCGGAACGUGCCCAGUCGUGGGGGAUAACGCAGCGAAAGCUGUGCUGAUACCGCAUACGCUCUAUGGAUGAAAGCGGGGGACCGUAAGGCCUCGCGCGAUGGGAGCGGCCGAUGUCAGAUUAGGUAGUUGGUGGGGUAAAGGCCUACCAAGCCGACGAUCUGUAGCUGGUCUGAGAGGACGACCAGCCACACUGGGACUGAGACACGGCCCAGACUCCUACGGGAGGCAGCAGUGGGGAAUUUUGGACAAUGGGCGCAAGCCUGAUCCAGCAAUGCCGCGUGCAGGAAGAAGGCCUUCGGGUUGUAAACUGCUUUUGUACGGAACGAAACGGUCUGGGUUAAUACCCUGGGCUAAUGACGGUACCGUAAGAAUAAGCACCGGCUAACUACGUGCCAGCCGCCGCGGUAAUAC